GGCCUGAUAGCACAGUUGGUUAGUGUGUCUGCUCGAAGUGUGUCCAUUGCCUUCGCAGGUUUAAGCAGAAGACCCCCAUUCGAUUCAGGGUCAGGUCA